ensembl:misc_RNA 7SK 7SK RNA
GGAUGUGAGGGCUAUCUGGCUGUGACAUCUGUCACUCCACUGAUCGCCAGGGUUGAUUCGGCUGAUCUGGCUGGCUAGGCGGGUGUCCCGUUCUUCCCUUGCCGUUCCAUGUGAGUCCCUUCAGAAGCUGCACUUCAGUUGAAGAGGACGGCCUUCCCUGAAUAGAGACUGACCGGUCUUCAGUAGAGGGUAUACGAGUACCUGUGCUCUCCUGCUAGAACCUCCAAACAAGCUCUCAAGAGAGGUACAAUUCAUACAAUUUCCACCACCAGCAUGCCACAAACUCCUAAAAUUACCAAGUAGUCCAAAGAGUUUUUAAAUGGGUCUUUU